CCUACUGCUAUCGGGGUGGGACUAAAACAUGCGAGUCGAGCGUCUUCAAGCCAUGGUGAAGGCGCGGCGAACGGCUCAGUAACACGUGGCUAACCUACCCUUUGGACGGGGACAACCCCGGGAAACUGGGGCUAAUCCUCGAUAGACGAGGAGGCCUGGAAUGGUUUCUUAUCCAAAAGGCGUCUAGACCAUGCUUCUGGAUGUCGCCGAAGGAUGGGGCCGCGGCCGAUCAGGUUGUUGGUGAGGUAACGGCUCACCAAGCCUAUAACCGGUACGGGCCGUGAGAGCGGGAGCCCGGAGAUGGGCACUGAGACAAGGGCCCAGGCCCUACGGGGCGCAGCAGUUGCGAAAACUCCGCAAUGCGCGAAAGCGUGACGGGGCUACCCCGAGUGCCGUCCGCUGAGGAUGGCUUUUCCACGGUGUAAGGAGCCGUGGGAAUAAGGAGAGGGCAAGACUGGUGUCAGCCGCCGCGGUAAUACCAGCUCUCCGAGUGGUAGGGAGGAUUAUUGGGCUUAAAGCGUUCGUAGCCGGCCUGGCAAGUCUUCCGUUAAAUCCAGCGACCCAAUCGUUGGACUGCGGGAGAUACUGUUAGGCUAGGGGGCGGGAGAAGCCGACGGUACUCUCGGGGUAGGGGUGAAAUCCUAUAAUCCCGGGAGGACCACCAGUGGCGAAGGCGGUCGGCUAGAACGCGCCCGACGGUGAGGGACGAAAGCUGGGGGAGCGAACCGGAUUAGAUACCCGGGUAGUCCCAGCAGUAAACGAUGCGGGCUAGGUGUUGGGGCGGCUACGAGCCGCCUCGGUGCCGCACGGAAGCAAUUAAGCCCGCCGCCUGGGGAGUACGGCCGCAAGGCUGAAACUUAA
rnacentral:rRNA from 1 species